rnacentral:tRNA from 1 species
GGCCCGUUCGUCUAGUGGUUAGGACAUCAGGUUCUCAUCCUGGAAACAGGAGUUCGAUUCUCCUACGGGCUACCA